GGCAACAAUGAAAUUUAUAGUAAGAGGAAAAUCCGUCGACUUUAAAAAUCGUGAGGGUUCAAGUCCCUCUAUCCCCA
rnacentral:tRNA from 1 species